AUCCAGGCUGGAUGCAGUGGCUCACAUCUGUAAUCCUAGCACUUUGGAAGGCCAAGGCUUGAGGCCAGGAGUUCAAGACCAACUGUGAGACCCCACACACGGUCGGUCUAUAAGCCACAUGAUGAAGAUGAGACUGAUCCUAAGCCCUGGAAGUUAUCAGCCCAGGUAUUCCCUGCCUCUCACCUCUUGGACCCAGCACAUUUGGGAAACUGAGAUCCCAUGCCCUGGAAUGAAAGAAACGGAUCUAUAAUCAUGUUUCCGGACCGAGAAGCCAUGUGCCUCAUUCUGUCCUAUCCAACAUUGCCAUCAGUGGUUUGGAGGAAGACACAGUCAGGAAACAGUCAAGGGAUAGUGGGUGCAGUGAUCAUCUGCUGGAUCCCGGGCUGCCUCGCCCUCUCCACUAUGCUUCUCCUGCAGGUCUCCCAAGAGUUCUCAUUGGUCUCUGGGAGACUUUACCACCAGCCUAGUCUCUGGUACUCACUGCACACAGCUCCCCUUGGCUUUUAUUAUACUAUCAAGGUUUGGAUGAUCCCAGAUCCAUUUCCUCUUGGUUCAUCUUAGACUGUUUAGACUGGGAAAGAAAAAAAGAGCUUGUAUGCUGGGCAAACUAAUUUGUGACUGUGUGUGUGUUUACACACACAUAGGUAUUCUGAAAAGUAUUUUUUGUGUAUAUUUAAAUAUAAUAAAGAUAUUUUAGGUUGGGCAUGGUGGCUCAUGCUUGUAAUGAUUUGGGAGGCUGAGGCUAGAAGAUGGCUUGAGGCCAGGAGUUAAGAAUAGCCUGGGCAGCAUAGCGAGAUCCCAUCUUUACAAACCAUGAAAAAAUUAGCCGGGUGUGGUGGCGUGCACCUGUAGCCAUAGCCACUUCUUUUUUUUUUUUUUUUUUUUUUUUUUUGAGAUGCAGUCUCGCUGUUGCUCAGGCUGGAGUGCAGUGGGGCCAUCUCGGCUCACUGCAGGCU
rnacentral:lncRNA from 1 species